UUUUAAUUAAUUUGAAAAUAUAAUUUAUUAAAGUUUGCUUGAAUGAAAUUUUUUUUUUCCUGUUCUGUAAUGGGAAGUAUGGUGUUAUGUAGAAUUAGUAUUAUUAAUGAGGUCAGAAAUCUACUGUAUUCCAAAGAGGCCAUUUUCACAAGUUUAAUAUUAAACACACAUUGAAUUAUCUUUCUGUUUUUCUAACUAAUAAUGUUGUUGCUCAGAAACAUUUUUCAAGCAAAAUAUCAAAACAACAUUCUAAAAUUGAAAUAGAGGAAUUUAAAAUUUUAUGCUGUUCAAUACUAACUCUUAGAGCAAAGUUCUAUAGCUUUUAUAGAUUUCAUACAGUCCAGAAUUGAGUGUGCUGUGGACCUACCUAAUUUUACAAGGAAUUCCAAGUAAUUCAAGUAUUUUAAUGAGAAUGUACAAUCAUGCAGUGAUAUCUAUGUAACUUUUAUGGUGUGUUAUUUCUGUAAUGUAAAUUUUCUUAGUUCAUAACUUUGCAGUUCAAUUCUUAUCAAAACAUGUUAGCAGUUUCUGAAAAUUGAUAGAUUUGUGCUAGUUUGAGGCAUUCACUGCAGAUAAUUUAUCUGGCUUGUGAGUAAAAAAGGUAGAAAUACUGAAUUUUGCAGUUAUAUAUUUUUUCUCAUAUUGGUAAGAAAGGCUGCAUUUCAAGACAGUAUUUUUGAAUGCAAUUUUGUUUACAUGAAAUUCUGGAAUUGUUCUCUCUUUUCAGGUUUAUUGUCAGGUUCCCAAUCCAACAUGGUUGUAACUUCAUAAAUUAGCACAUUCUUAGAAUGUUGUGGGUAACCCAGUCCAGACAACGAGAUAAAGAAAUCUGAGUACCCAGACAAAAAAAACUUCAUUUUUAUAUUCAUCAUUAAACAAGUACAUUAUGAACAACUGUAUUUUUUAAUGGUUUCUAAUUGCACAUUGAGCAUCAGGCUUACGAAGAACCUGUGGAAAGACAUUUCUCUAAAACACAAGCAUGCUUUUUAUUUUCUGAUAAGAAGCAAGCUCAGCAGUUUUCACUUUAUGAAGAGGCCAGUGAUAUCUCUUGUGAAAGAUAGAAUGCAACUUUUAAAAUGGAGGAAUUUAAACUCUGCUGUGUAUUUGUAAGUUAAAUUUACUGAGUAUUUGCUUUAGUACCUGAUGUGUAUUUUGUAAUUGAGAAAUUAGCAGUGAAUGUCAAAAGAAAGGAAGCUAUGUGCCAGUAAGCCAGAAAGUUCUGAUUUAACCUACCAAUGACCUGGCUUUGUUUGUUCAGAUGACAGUUCUAAAAGUGUGCAGAGAAUAUUCCCUUUUAAUACAGUUAUUUGCCGCGAGCCGUGACCUCGCUGCCUGUCGGGGAGCAGGUCUGAAUUGGCCCUUUCUCUGAUAUCGUGACAUUGCUUCUGUUGCCUCGAUUGUGACCUCUGAUUGCAUGAUACCCCUGAGAGUUCAAUUUAAUAAGCGUGACUCCUGACUCUUAGCCAGGUCUGCCUUCUUAGGUUUUGUCAGACUCUACUUGUAGUCUGGUCUGCAUAUGCUAAAACACUGCCUAGGCUGUCAUCAUACUGUGUGAGUUGUGUGCACUGUAUUCAAAGUUCUCUUUCAAAUGUCUUUUGCUUAUUGCAAAUGCAAAUGUUUAGAAAGUCUUUCUUGGAAUAAAUUUUAGAAGUUGUUUCUUUCACGUGUAUGGCUGCUUGGGAUUUUUGGGUUUUAUACCUUUGUGCAGAUAGUUACUACUCUUUCACUAAAUUAGUAAGCAUGUGUAUUAGCCAUGCAUCAUAUUAAUUUCUUUCUUCUAAUUUUUAUUUCCCAUAUGAGAGUGUUGUAUGUUUUUAUGACUUCCCAUACAAUAUGUUUGUUCAAUAUAGAAAAAUUAGGGGCAAAUCCCUUUUUCUCAUUGUAUAAUUAGUACAGUAACACAACAAGGCAGUACUGAUAAGCACCCAGAGCACUGUAAGGUGUAGUGACCCAGGAGCAGUCAGGUGAAAGCUGAAGAAUCUGUUUGGAAUCCAGGAGAAGCCAGAAUGCUGAGGAAGAGUCUGUUCUGGGACCUGGAUGCCUUGAGGGUGAUGAUGCUAUUCAGAUAUUUCUCCAGUUUUAGUGCCGCUUGGUGCAUUCACUGAACCAGAAUAUGGAGAAGUUUAAAGAUUGAAAGAAAGUUUCAAGAACUGUGGUACAAGUUACAGACAAGUUUCUGUAUUUACUUACAUGCAUUUUCUGUAUUCUCAUUGCAGCUUUGUACCCAUUUUUCUAGCCUCUGUAUCAGUACCAUAACUUAGUGCUUCUAAAAAAUUAUCAUUUCAGAAGAGCAGAAAAAUCUUGCUGAACAAAAUAAUGCUUUGAGCUUACUUUUGUAGUUACAUUAAAUUUUUUCUGUAAAUAUUACCAUGUAAUACUUCUUUAUUUCUUCAAGUGCUUUAAAGAAUUCUGUUAACCUUUUUACCAGAUUAAUUUUUAUUAAAAUUUUUUAUUUUGCAUGAAAACUAUAUUAAGAUCUUUCUUAUAAAACAAAUUCUAUAUAAGGCAGAAAGUGGGUAUUUUCUUCUUCCACUCAAACUUGACAAUGAAAUUCUAUUCCUUCUUCAUGACAGUGACUGUUUACAAUGAAGUAAAAUCAAGUAAAAUCUCGGUUUGGCCAGGUUGGUUGGUUUUUUUUUUUUUUUUUUUUAAUUGGUACACAAAUUCUAUUGUAAGAUUAUGUAAUUUUUAUAACUCAAUUUAGUCUCUAAGGUUUUAAAAGUCGUAAUAUAAUCAUCUCUUUCCUUCUUCUGGAAUAAAUAGCGUAAGAUGAGCUUCUAAAUUUCCUUAAUCUUAAGUGAGAGUUUCCCUACCUAAUUGAAAUUUAUGGGAUUUCACUCCUCUCUGGAUCAGAGCUUAAUGCUCUGUAAAUUCCUGUGCUCUUGGCAGGAGAUUAGAUCAUCAGCUGCAAACAAGCAAAGUUACAAGUGGACAACUAUUUUAACCUGUUGGUAGACAACUGGUAAAACAAAUUAAACUUUUAAAUUAAUUAGUUAUGGCUGUUUUAAAAGCUAUUGCAAAUAUAAACAGAAUGCGUAUGAGUCAGCUUCACCUAUUUGGAAUCAUCAUGAUAUUUAGGUUGUUCCCUCCUUUUCAAACAAUUUUAUAUAUAUGUAUAUAGAAAUACAUAUGUAAAGGCAGUGAGUAGGACAGUUUGGUAGCAAGUUUAGAUGAAAAGUUUAGUCAAAAGAAACUAAUUUAAACACACCUACAGUAAGCAUAAACUGUUUAAAUUCAAGAUUAGGGACAGUUAAAUUAUGUUCACAAAUAGAACUGGGGGGUUUGUGUUCAUCUUCUCAAUAAAAAAGAAUUUGAAUAAAGUUCUAAACAAAUUUCUGUAAAAGAACAGAAGGAGUCAGAUCUAAUUUAUUCCUUUUUCAACUGAUCUGUUCAUUCAGUAGGUAAAUCAUUCAAACCUUCUCUGCCUGGAUAGAGAAAACCUGUGCCAUUGUAACUAUAACUGAUUCAAAAUCAAUAAAAGGUUGGUUCCAUACCUGGGGAUAUGUGCUGAUUACUCUAUAAUUAUAUACAAUGUUUUGAUUCUUGUUUGUUUUCAUGUGUUUGCAGUUUAAUUAAUGAAGAGAUCUAUGCAAAUACUAAGCUCUUCGAGACAUAUGUAUUGAGAAUUAACCUGGGGCAACUCAUAGGCAAGUUGCGGUUUUCUUUUGCCUUUUCUGCCUGACCUUCUUUACAAAUGGAAAGAUUUUUUGGGUUUUUUGAUAAAACUACAAGAUGCUAGAAUUUCAUAUUGUUUAUUGUCUUCCAUGAUGUAUCAACCAAUUAAAUAUAACUCAAUAAGAGCAA